GAUGAACGCUGGCGGCGGGCUUAACACAUGCAAGUCGAACGGUAAGGCUCCAGCUUGCUGGGGUACACGAGUGGCGAACGGGUGAGUAACACGUGGGUGACCUGCCCUGCACUUCGGGAUAAGCCUGGGAAACUGGGCCUAAUACCGGAUAGGACCAUGGUGUGGAUACUGUGGUGGAAAGCUUUUUCGGUGUGGGAUGGGCCCGCGGCCUAUCAGCUUGUUGGUGGUGUAAUGGCCUACCAAGGCGGCGACGGAUAGCCGGCCUGAGAGUGUGGACGGCCACCAUGGGCCUGCGGGACGGCGCAGUGUGCAACGGGAGACAACAGUGGGAAGUAUGGCCCAGUGGUCCGGCGUGUGUGGAGAAGGCGUCGCGUUGGGGAUGCCGUCCUUCGGGGUAUAAAAUCCUUUAAGCAAAGACGAAGGGUUUCUGACGGUAGAUGGAGAAGAAGCACCGGCUAACUACGUG
rnacentral:rRNA from 1 species